AAGAUCUCAUCUCGCCUCUCCAUCAUCGCCCGCUCCAACUCACACCAAAUCAAUCCCAUCAGGGUUUCUGAGAAAUGGGCAGCUCCGGGACCUCAUGGAAGCUGGCGGAUCACCCGAAGCUCCCCAAGGGGAAGACGGUGGCGAUGAUCGUGCUCGAUGGAUGGGGUGAGGCUAACCCCGACAAGUAUAACUGCAUCCAUGUCGCCGAGACUCCGGUCAUGGAUUCGCUCAAGACGGGUGCUCCUGAUAAAUGGAGAUUGGUAAAAGCUCAUGGCACAGCAGUGGGACUUCCUACUGAGGAUGACAUGGGUAACAGCGAAGUUGGCCACAAUGCACUGGGUGCAGGACGGAUUUUUGCUCAAGGUGCUAAGCUAGUGGAUCUUGCACUUGCCUCUGGAAAAUUAUACGAAGGAGAAGGUUUCAAGUACAUUAAAGAAUGCUUCGAUCAAGGCACUUUACAUCUUAUUGGUUUACUGAGCGAUGGCGGUGUUCACUCCCGGCUUGAUCAGUUGCAGCUAUUACUGAAAGGUGCUAGCGAGCGUGGAGCCAAAAGAAUCCGAGUACAUAUUCUUACUGAUGGUCGUGAUGUUUUGGAUGGCAGCAGUGUCGGCUUUGUAGAAACUCUUGAAAAUGAUCUUGUACAGUUGCGAGCGAAGGGCAUUGACGCCCAAAUUGCAUCUGGUGGGGGUAGGAUGUAUGUCACAUUGGAUCGCUAUGAGAAUGACUGGAGCGUCGUUAAACGUGGUUGGGAUGCCCAAGUUCUUGGUGAAGCACCAUACAAAUUUCGCAGUGCUGUCGAAGCUGUAAAAAAGCUCAGGGAGGAACCUAAAGCCAACGAUCAGUACUUACCCCCCUUUGUUAUAGUUGAUGAGAGUGGCAAGGCAGUUGGGCCAAUAGUGGAUGGUGAUGCUGUUGUAACA
rnacentral:misc_RNA from 1 species